rnacentral:rRNA from 1 species
AUUGAACGCUGGCGGAAUGCUUUACACAUGCAAGUCGAGCGGCAGCGCGGGGGCAACCCUGGCGGCGAGCGGUGAACGGGUGAGUAACAUAUCGGAACGUACCCAGUCGUGGGGGAGUAACUAUCCGAAAGGAUAGCUAAUACCGCAUACGUCCUGAGGGAGAAAGCGGGGGAUCGCAAGACCUCGCGCGAUUGGAGCGGCCGAUAUCGGAUUAGCUAGUUGGUGGGGUAAAGGCUCACCAAGGCGACGAUCCGUAGCGGGUCUGAGAGGACGACCCGCCACACUGGAACUGAGACACGGUCCAGACUCCUACGGGAGGCAGCAGUGGGGAAUUUUUGGACAAUGGGGGCGAACCCCUGAUCCAGCCAUUCCGCGUGAGUGAAGAAGGCC